GCCCGGUAGCACAGUUGGUUAGAGCAUGUUGCUGAAAACCCCAAGGUUGCAGGUUUGAUCCCUGUGUGGGACA